GACGAACGCUGGCGGCGUGCCUAACACAUGCAAGUCGAACGGAGAUAUUAGCAAUAGUAUCUUAGUGGCGGACGGGUGAGUAACGCGUGGGCAACCUACCUAUUUCUGGGGGAUAACACAGGGAAACUUGUGCUAAUACCGCAUAACAUCACGAGAUGACAUCUUCUUGUGAUCAAAGGAGUAAUCCGGUGAUAGAUGGGGCCCGCGUCCGAUUAGCUAGUUGGUGAGGUAAUGGCCCACCAAGGCGACGAUCGGUAGCCGAACUGAGAGGUUGAUCGGCCACAUUGGGACUGAGACACGGCCCAGACUCCUACGGGAGGCUG
rnacentral:rRNA from 1 species